rnacentral:rRNA from 1 species
CAGGGCUUUCGUCUUGUAAUUGGAAUGAUGGUGAUGUACAACCUCACCAGAGUACCAAUUGGAGGGCAAGUCUGGUGCCAGCAGCCGCGGUAAUUCCAGCUCCAAUAGCGUAUAUUAAACUUGUUGCAGUUAAAAAGCUCGUAGUUGUAUUUCAGCCUCGCGUUUUUUCCCUGGUUUUGGGUCUUUUCGCUGGCUUUUUUUUUACUUUGAGAAAAUUAGAGUGUUUCAAGCAGACUUUUGUCUUGAAUACUUCAGCAUGGAAUAAUAGAGUAGGACCUUGGUUCUAUUUUGUUGGUUUCGAGCCUUGGUAAUGGUUAAUAGGAACGGUUGGGGGCAUUCGUAUUUAACUGUCAGAGGUGAAAUUCUUAGAUUUGUUAAAGACGAACCACUGCGAAAGCAUUUGCCAAGGACGUUUUCAUUAAUCAAGAAC